rnacentral:lncRNA from 1 species
AAUGAAGAUAUAGAUGGUUGAAGACUAAGUUGAAGAAGACAAAAAUAAGAUGAAGUUAAUGAAGAAAUAAAUGGUUAAAGACUAGGUUGAAGAAGUUGAAGAGAAGAAGAAGUUAAUAAAAAUAUAGAUGAUUGAAGACUAGGUUAAAGAAGACAAAGAUAAGAUUAAGUCUAUGAAAAUAUGAAUGUUUAAAGAAUAAGUUGAAAAAGAUCAAAUAAAAUUGACAGAUAAAUUGAAGAUAG